UAACAACGGAGGAAGGUGGGGACGACGUCAAUCAUCAUGGCCCUUAUGUCCUGGGCUACACACGUGCUACAAUGGCCGGUACAGAGCGCAGCGAGGCCGCGAGGCGGAGCGAAUCGCUUAAAGCCGGUCCCAGUACGGAUUGGAGUCUGCAACCCGACUCCAUGAAGUUGGAAUCGCUAGUAAUCGCGCAUCAGCAUGGCGCGGUGAAUACGUUCCCGGGCCUU
rnacentral:rRNA from 1 species